UUCGCAUUCUCUCACUCGCCAAUGGCGAUCCUCGACAUGCCGCCGCGACGAAUCCCGCUCCUCUCCCCGAGCUCUCACCCGACCCUGACGGACCAGAUCUUGCUGAGGUCCACCACCACCGAGGUGCAAAUCCGCGGCUCCUGGAGUCCUUCGGCGCCAUCCAGGAGCUCUCAUCCCAAUCCACGCCGAAUUCCAGCAGUAGGAGUAUGAGCAGAGGAGAUCGAGGAGGGAUGGGCCGUUGUGACGAGAUGGUUGGAGGUCAAGCAGCAGCGCUGGAGACAAGGACCUGCGGCACGCAGAUCUAUCAUCUUCAUCACCCGCACCAUGUGUUUCGCACAGCUCGGCACAGCUGUGGACCUGUGGUGUUGGGGCUGCAGGCUCAUCCAUCCUCCUCGCCGGUCCCUCACCAAUCCUCUUGGCACCACAUAUUCCACUGGGAAAGGUUGAACUGGCAGAAGCCAGCGGACUGAGCACGUCAUCGUGGCAUCAAACCAUAAAAUGAAGUCAGAGUCCGGCCAAAUCAUCUGCAAGCAUCCAAGAAGCAGCGCACGGCAUACCAGAUCCGAGGCGACACCACCGCCACCUGCAGCUUGUCCUCCUUGGUCUGAUUCUCCACCCUGUAUCCCCCAAAACCUCACAAGUUUGCAGGUACUGUCCUCUCUGAUCAAUAAUCUUGUUCUUCCUCUCUGCUCCCAGGUUAUUUUCUCUUAUUAUCUGGCAAUCUCUGAUGUUACUUUUGAUUUUUGUAGUAUCAUUAGUUUCAUUGUACUGAUGAACAUGACAGUAUGUAGGGAGUGUGCAUCUAGGAAGAAUGACGUGAAAAUAAAAGAUGCAUUUAUUUGAUGAUAAGAUCAAUACAAUGAUAAUCCCACAUAUAUAUAGAAACAAAUUGAAGAGGAACAAUGUACUGCUCUCGUAAUGUUCAGGCAAAUUUCUAAAAAGAAAACAGUUCAAUCCUAAACUAUGUAUUUGGUGAAGCGAUUAAUAUAGACUUGAAAUUACAAGUUUAGAAUUCGCUUUAGACUUUCUAAUUCAGAAGUAUUUAAGUUUAAAUUCAAUAAGAAUUCUGAACUGCACACAUUGUGGAAUGUUGUUCAAGGAAGGAUUGUUUACAUUUAAGCCGAACACUUUUAUGCCACAUGGGUUGUAAAUAGUCUAUCAGCAACAUUAUUUAUUAUUUACCUUCAAGCUAAACAACAUGGUGCCUUUGGUUCUUCAUGUGUCCCAACUGAUUUCUUAUCUUCUUCCUCUGCUUAUUUGCAUAUAUUCUUAAUGUUGCUUCGUUUUCAUUGAGAGGCUAGACUUCAUUUUGGUGCCACUACAGCGAUUUUUUUCUAUGAAGUGGAAAAAGGGGUCAGAAACUGAAUAUUGUUAUGCCAACACACUUCUUGCUGGCGUGUGCUUUUAUAAAUAAGAUUCAUGCUGCUGAAGAGAAUGUGAACAACAACAUUUGCUUCUACUAGGUACUUCCAUUUAUUGACAUUCACCUGCUUGUGUUGUAACAUUUAGUUCCAUCUAAGGCCCAUCAAUUAGUUAUAAGUUUUUGUACAUUUGAAUUAAGCUUCGGGGAAGAGUAGCAAAUCAUAAUUUUGAAACAUGGAUCCUUGCAUCGGUGAAUUUCUUAUGUGGGUAUAUAAAUUGUUACUACUUCGUUGGCACAGUAUGAUUUUCCGAAAUCCCUUUGGCCCAAUAUUUGCCAUGUCUUUGUUUCCUCCUUCGCUUAUAUUAAAUUUCAGCCUGAACUUAUGUUUUUUACUAACCCUAUCAGAUCAUUAUUUAUUCUAAUUUUUGUGCAAUUUUCUAUAUCGUCUUUUCUGAUUGCACUAAAACUUUCUUGUGGUAAUAUGAUCUAUUUUGUAAGUUUUGCGGUUUAUCUGUUCGUGUUUUGCAGGUGAAAAAAUGCCUUGAACGGGUACAUGCAUGGUUUGGAAAGCUAAUUAGUUGGGAAAGGUACAUGCAUAGUUUGGAAAGCCAAUAAUCUUCAGCAAGGAUACACAGACUCAUUUCUUUUUUUUUGUUUUGUAGACAUUGCUUGAUCCAAAUUAGAAUAAAAGAUCAAUUGACGAGGCUGUACUAAACCACAUAUUUAUUACAUAUUUAUUACUGAGUAGUAAUAGUAUAGUCUCUUAAUUAUCCUUUUAAAAUUAAAUUUAUGUUUACCUAUUAUUAGAGAAUUAGAAAAGCAUAGGCUCUUCGGAAGCUUUCUUGCCAAAAAAGAAGGCCCUUCAAAAGCUAAUACAUGUAUAUAUAUGAUCACAUUAUAUGCAUGUUUUUCUUCUUUAAUUUUCAAAUGCUUAUAAAUCAUCCACAAAAGUAGUGUAGCUUGUAACUCUGUAGGUGUUGAAGUGUAAUAAAAAUAAUAUAGGUUUUGUUCUGCCGAGAGGUCAUGCAAUGCUUCUCUAUUUCCAUUUCAGGUCGGGUUACCUUCAAUACAUUGCAUGGAUUCUUGCACAUAUUAUUUACUUUAUUUUUGUAACUUCUAAUUACUUGCAAGUUUAAGUUAUUUGUCUUCUGGAUUGUACGAAUGAUUUUCGCUAAUACGCUGCACACAUCUUCACCAUUGACAGUUAUAUACGUUUGAUUUCCUGAAGCAUAAGAUGAAUCAUUUAUAUAUACAUUUGAUUUCCUGAAGCAUAAGAUGAAUCAUUUAUAUGUACAUUUGAUUUCCUAAAGCAUAAGAAUAACCAUGUAUGGUUUUCUUUCCAUGUGGAAAUUAUUAUGAUAUCAUUUAUCAGAGGUGCACACAUGCAUGAUUUUCUUCUACAGAAAUUCAGAUUUAGAACUUAGAUUCGGCAAUUAUUUGACAUGCCAUGUAGUGUGUACUACGCCACUCACAAAAAGCGUAGGCUCCAUUGAGCGGCUUUGGCAGAGUUAAUCCGUACGUGGAUGUUUAGCUGAAUCCUGAAGUAUAACUUUUACGGUUUCCUGCAUAUUAUUGUUAAGGUUACUGCAAUUAGUCCACUGAUUGAAGGCUAGAUGUUGCUUCUUGAUCAACCCUGCUAGCUUUUAGAUGUUGUUUAAGUUAUAGGGAGAGCUAUUAUGUCAAUUUAUUUUUUGACAUUUUCAUUUGAAAGUAGCCAAAGCUACAACUGGACAUGUAGAUUGUAU
rnacentral:rRNA from 1 species